rnacentral:rRNA from 1 species
AUUGAACGCUGGCGGCAUGCUUUACACAUGCAAGUCGAACGAGUGGCGGACGGGUGAGUAAUGUAUGGGAACGUGCCGAGUAAUGGGGGAUAACUGCUCGAAAGGAUAGCUAAUACCGCAUAUCAUCCGAGCUGCCCAGGUCGGAUUAGCUGGUUGGCGGGGUAAAGGCGCACCAAGGCGACGAUCAGUAGCGGGUCUGAGAGGAUGAUCAGCCACACUGGAACUGAGACACGGCCCAGACUCCUACGGGAGGCAGCAGUGGGGAAUAUUGCACAAUGGGCGCAAGCCUGAUGCAGCCAUGCCGCGUGUAUGAAGAAGGCCUUCGGGUUGUAAAGUACUUUUGGCAGGGAAGCGUUACCUGAAGAAUAAGCACCGGCUAACUCCGUGCCAGCAGCCGCGGUAAUUC